rnacentral:rRNA from 1 species
AACGCCGCGUGAAGGAUGAAAUCCUUCGGGAUGUAAACUUCGCAAGAACGGGAAGAAUAAGUAAGGGUUAAUAUCUCUUACGAUGACGGUACUGUUUGUAAGCUCCGGCUAACUCCGUGCCAGCAGCCGCGGUAAUACGGGGGGAGCAAGCGUUGUUCGGAUUUACUGGGCGUAAAGGGCGCGUAGGCGGCCACCGCAAGUCGACUGUGAAAUCUCCGGGCUUAACCCGGAAAGGUCAGCCGAUACUGCGGGGCUAGAGUGCAGAAGGGGCAACUGGAAUUCUCGGUGUAGCGGUGAAAUGCGUAGAUAUCGAGAGGAACACCUGCGGCGAAGGCGGGUUGCUGGGCUGACACUGACGCUGAAGCGCGAAAGCUAGGGGAGCGAACGGGAUUAGAUACCCCGGUAGUCCUAGCCUUAAACGAUGAAUGCUUGGUGUCUGGGGUUUUAUAGUCCCCGGGUGCCGUCGCUAACGCUUUAAGCAUUCCGCCUGGGGAGUACGGUCGCAAGACUGAAACUCAAAGGAAUUGACGGGGACCCGCACAAGCGGUGGAGCAUGUGGUUAAUU